UCUGCCUCCGCCCUGCUGGGACCCGCAGCUGGGUCUAAGUGCACGGACGACAGGCGGAUGAGCAGGAGCAAAGUCACGAGGGAUUAGGGGCACCGAGGCAUCACAGCGAAUAAGGAAGGAGUACCCCAAAGUGGUCUGUGUGACACAGCUUUACAAAUGCAGGAGCCCUCGUUUGUAGUUUGGCUGGCAUUUAAGGAAGUACCCGGAAGGAUGGAAGGAGCCAGUGAUUCUUCAGAGGGAGGAAGCUUGAAGAAUCACCAUCAAUUGUAAGAUAACUUUAUAUGUGGACCAUGAAACAGCCCUUUCCCCCGGCAGAUGGCAGUGCCCUUGAGCAGAGUAGGAAGAAAGGUUUGGGAGGAGGAGGCCCUGCACCAAUGUGGAGCUGAAGAGCUUAAUCUGCUCAUUAGACCUGAGCUAAAAGCAGCCUGGAAUUUGCCUUCCCGGGUCCUCAAUGCUGCAUAUUCAACAAGCUACAUAAAGAAAAAAAUAAAGCAAAGAAACAUUGCGUUUUUAUAUCAAAAACAGUGUGAGCAGUUAUCUUUCUGCUACAUUCUCUCCCUGCGGCAAAUUCUGCAGCCCUUUCAAAGAGAUUGAUGAGGAUCCCAAGACAGCCCUGAAGUACAGCAGAACCACAGAUGAAAAACACUUGGCUCCCUGAGUUGCUGCCUGGAGGAGAGUCACCCAGGAUUACAGCUCAGCCUGCAUUAGACUGUGAUAUGGAUGAGAAAUAAACUUUUAUUUUGUUAAGCCA